CAGUAGCGCGGGAAUGCGAAGGGGGCUAGCGUUGUUCGGAUUUACUGGGCGUAAAGCGCACGUAGGCGGAUCGAUCAGUCAGGGGUGAAAUCCCAGAGCUCAACUCUGGAACUGCCUUUGAUACUGUCGAUCUGGAGUAUGGAAGAGGUGAGUGGAAUUCCGAGUGUAGAGGUGAAAUUCGUAGAUAUUCGGAGGAACACCAGUGGCGAAGGCGGCUCACUGGUCCAUUACUGACGCUGAGGUGCGAAAGCGUGGGGAGCAAACAGGAUUAGAUACCCGGGUAGUCCCUGUCUCUUAUACA
rnacentral:rRNA from 1 species